GAGCCUAGUUUUCCAACAGAUCAAACAUUACACUUUAACUUUGAAGGAAAUUCUAGAAAAUGAUUAAUUAUACUUUAUAUUACAAGAUGCAAAAAAUUGUCCAGUUAAUUAACAUGAUAUUUAAUACGAUUUUCAAACGUCGCCAUGGAACAUAUGACCUCGUAGGGCACCACAGCUACGAGCACACUUGAUGCAAGAGUUGUCGGAAUUAUCAUUGCCUUCACGCCUCCACAAGCCAGUAACUCUGACUUCACCGCAAACACCCACAAAUGAAGCUUUCUUAGCAACUGGAUAUAUGAAGCCCACACUUGUCCAUUCCGAACAUCCGACCAUGCACCAACGGUUAGACAACUACAAUUUUGAAGGCGAGCUGAGAAGGAAAGUAUACAAGUCCCACGCCGAAGAGGAUCGUCGAACCGUUCGUCGCCUAUCACUGGCAACACCUAUAAACGCCACGACAACUGUGAAUGUGCAAUAAUGGUACAAAGCAUAGCAACAAUUUGGACACGCUAAAUAAUCGACUACCAAAACCUUGUCGCAACAGAAACAACGCUCGACCCCAUCAUAGUUGCCACACUAGCCGCCGGCACACCAACCAUACAACAUCCGUACAGGCACCUGGAAACUGUGAGGACAUACAUAUUGAGCCAGGGAAAGGGAAAGCGUGUAUGGGAUUCAAAUUCUUCAAGAUGGCCUCCCAAUGAGAGAGACGGUGUGGGAAUACUAAUGUCGUCUGACCAUACAACCAUGAUCUUAGGCCUUCAGCCAAAGACAUGACCCGAGGGUGGGAGAGGUUGGAAAGCUCCGCAAUGACCCCAAAAGAACGACACUAAAGGGCAUUGUAUUGUCGGAGUCGACAAAAGCCAAGCAAGCAUUCUUCUAGAGCAGUAUGCCACUAUAUUCCCUAUGUGAACGACCAAAGGUAGAGAAAACCCGCACAACUACCUACCCAAACCCACUAACCCACACGCACCUCCAGCACAUUGACGACAUCACCACCACCCAUGAACCAUCCUCCUCACCACCAACAGAAGUCGACGGGAUAUAUCAGUUGGCACCCAACUAGAUCUGGUGUCCCUCCACCAUAAUGCCACAUGAGAUGCUAUGCCACAAACACCAACACACCGCCAACCCUUUGAGCACAAGGCUUGGCCCCACCACACCGCCGCUCUUUGGAAAUGAGUAUCUGGAUGAAGUCCACACAAUCUACUGACAUUGUUGCACUAAUGGAUCGCGCUAAAGCUACCAUCGGCUAAAGACGCUACCAAUAAGUUUGUCGGCCACCGAAAGACAUCACACAACACAACCGCAUGGUAUCGAGUCCCUACCACGGGUUCUUGAUGUCAUGCCAUAAAACGACCCUAUUACGGUGUUCGCCGCACGGGCAUAGGCAACCCGUCGACCGGGGGGAGAAGGGCUUGGAGGAGGGAGCCGAUGACGGAGGUGACUAAGGUUUUGCCCAAUACACCCCUUAGAGGAGCAAUCAUUGAGUUAUCAAUUAUAUCUACAUAUACAAUACAUAUAAAUUCUAGCUAAACGCUUGUGCGUUGCUACAACUGUUAAUAUAAAUAAUUAAAUAUAUGUCCUCCAUAAUGAAUGUCAAUUUUUUUAGCAAUAGCUUAAAAGAUUAAUGGACCGUCUCUAGCAUAUAUUUUGUUUGCGAGAAACCAAAAUAAAACUUCAAAGGCCAAGGUGUGGCCUCCGACAUCGAGCUACACCCACGACAUCACAAUGACUUGAAUUUAAUGUUUUUUUGGUUAGGAUGUGUUUGUAAUGACCCAUUAUACUUAAUAUACGACCUUUGCAAAAUGUGUGGCAUACGAGAUGUGGUCACGCAAUUGCAUAUCUGGUGCUCCCGGUUGUUAGAAGCUCACGUGCUUCCGGGGAUCCUAGGCCGCAUGAUCGCCAAUCCAAUGGACAUGAUCGAAGAUACCGAGCCCAGUUUUCCAACAGAUCAAACAUUACACUUUAACUUUGAAGGAAAUUCUAGAAAAUGAUUAAUUAUACUUUAUAUUACAAGAUGCAAAAAAUUGUCCAGUUAAUUAACAUGAUAUUUAAUACGAUUUUCAAACGUCGCCAUGGAACAUAUGACCUCGUAGGGCACCGCAGCUACGAGCACACUUAAUGCAAGAGUUGUCGAAAUUAUCAUUGCCUUCAUGCCUCCACAAGCCAGUAACUCUGACUUCACCGCAAACACCCACAAAUGAAGCUUUCUUAGCAAUUGGAUAUAUGAAGCCCAC
rnacentral:lncRNA from 1 species